GAUGAAGAACGCAGCGAAAUGCGAUAAGUAAUGUGAAUUGCAGAAUUCAGUGAAUCAUCGAAUCUUUGAACGCACAUUGCGCCCCUUGGUAUUCCGGGAGGCAUGCCUGUUCGAGCGUCAUUUCAACCCUCAAGCUCUGCUUGGUAUUGGGCUCCGUCCUCCUCGGACGCGCCUCAAAGACCUCGGCGGUGGCGUCUUGCCUCAAGCGUAGUAGAAACACCUCGCUUUGGAGUGCAUGGCGUCGCCCGCCGGACGAAACCUUUUGUAUUCUCUCAAAGGUUGACCUCGGAUCAGGUAGGGAUACCCGCUGAACUUAAGCAUAUCAAUAAGCGGAGG
rnacentral:misc_RNA from 1 species